UACGGAAGGCAGCAGGGGGGAAUAUUGCACAAUGGGCGCAAGCCUGAUGCAGCCAUGCCGCGUGUAUGAAAAAGGCCUUCGGGUUGUAAAGUACUUUCAGUCGUGAGGAGGUGUUAGGUUAAUAACCUUAGCAAUUGACGUUAGCGACAGAAGAAGCACCGGCUAACUCCGUGCCAGCAGCCGCGGUAAUACGGAGGGUGCGAGCGUUAAUCGGAAUUACUGGGCGUAAAGGGCACGCAGGCGGUUAAUUAAGUUGGAUGUGAAAUCCCCGGGCUUAACCUGGGAAUGGCAUUCAAGACUGGUUAGCUAGAGUCUUGUAGAGGGGGUAGAAUUCCAUGUGUAGCGGUGAAAUGCGUAGAGAUGUGGAGGAAUACCGGUGGCGAAGGCGGGCCCCUGGGACAAAGGACUGACGCUCAUGUGCGAAAGCGUGGGGAGCAAACAGGGAUUAGAUACC
rnacentral:rRNA from 1 species